rnacentral:rRNA from 1 species
AUCUACGGUCGUGCUACCCUGAACAAGCCCAAUCUCUUCUGAUGUCAGAAGCUAAGCAGGGUCGGCUUGGUUACUACUUGAAUGGGAGAUAACCUGGGAAGACUAGGUGGUGUAGGCA